AUUAUCUGGCCUUAGCUCUGAAGUUCAACUCCUCCCAUCUGAGAGAGCUGGAUCUGAGCUUCAAUGACCUGAAUGAUUCAGGAGUGAAGCUGCUGUGUGGUUUUGUGGAGAGUCCAGACUGUAAACUGGAGACUCUGAGAUUGUGGCGCUGCAGUUUAUCAAAGAUCAGCUGUGAUUAUCUGGCCUCAGCUCUGAAGUGCAACCCCUCCCAUCUGAGAGAGCUGGAUCUGAAUGAAAACUACCUGAAGGAAUCCGAUGUGAAGCAGCUGAUCGAUCUUCAGGAGAGUCCAGACUGCAGACUGGAGACUCUGGAAUGGAAGUGAUCUCUUUCAGAGUGAGAGUGAACAUCCAGGAGUGUUGAGAGAGGAUCAGCUGGAUCCUGAUGAUCCAUCUGGAGUCUGGAUCUGGGUUUUGUCGUCUUCACUUAAGUCUCUUAACUGACUCCAAACUGAACAGUUAUCUCUGGAUUUAGCUGAAGUCAGCACUUUACAGAUGAGUUCUACAUGAGCUGUUUGAUGCAGAAAAGAUAAAAACAGGUGUUAUAAGUCAGACUGUGAGCCUGGGCUCAUAUUUAUCAAGCGUCUCAGAAUCACACAGAGUUAACGAGGACUAAAACUAAUGAAUGAAGCAGAAGAGAAUUGACUGACUUUCAGCAGGAGAAGGAUUACUGCUGGGAGAGAGUGAGACGUGGCUGUUUUACCACAGUCAGAGCAGCAGAGUAGAGGGUCCGGCCAUUUCUGAGCUGCUUUUAUGUUUAGAUCCAAAGCUGAAAACAUGCUGAACAAUGUGUUAGAAUGAUGGAAGCUGCAGUUCAGUCUGCGUCCACACGGAGGAG